rfam:Picea glauca, whole genome shotgun sequence.
GUUCAAAUGAGGAAGGUCUUACGGUGGAUACCUAGGCACCCAUAGAUGAGGAAGGACAUCGUAAGCAAUGAAAUGCUUCGGGGAGUUGAAAAGGAGCAUAGAUCCAGAGAUUCUCGAAUAUGUUAACCUUUUUAAUUGUUUCUUAGUCCAUGGGUAGGCAAGAGACAACCUGGCAAAUUGAAACAUCUUAGUAGCUAGAGGAAUAGAAAGAAAAAGAGAUUUAUGUAGUAGCAGCGAGCGAAAUGGGAGCAACCUAAACCAUGAAAACGAGGUUGUGGGAGAGUACAAUAUAAUAUCUAUGCUGUUAGGCGAAGCGGUUGAGUCCUGCACCCUAUAUGGUGAGAGUCCAAUAGCCAAAAGAAUCAUUGGGUUAUGCUCUAACCCGAGUAGCAUGGGGCACGUGGAAUCCCAUGUGAAUCAGCAAGGACCACCUUGCAAGGAUCGAAGAGUGAAAUAGAACAUGAAACCGUAAGCUCCCAAGCAGUGGGAGGAAAAUGAUAUCUCUAACCGCGUGCCUAUUGAAGAAUGAGUAGGUGACUUAUAGGCAGUGGCUUGGUUAAGGGAACCCAUGAGAGCCGUAGUGAGAGCGAGUCUUCAUGGGGAAAUUGUCAUUGCUUAUGGACCUGAACCUAGGUGAUCUAUCCAUGACUAGGAUGAAGCUUGGGUGAAACUAACUGGAGGUCCGAACUGACUGAUGUUGAAAAAUGAUUGGAAGAGUCGUGGUUAGGGGUGAAAUUCCACUCAAACCCAGAGCUAUCUGGUUCUCCCCGAAAUGUGUUGAGGUGCAACAGUUGACUAGACCAUCUAGAGGUAAAGCAUUGUUUUAGUAUGGGCCGCGAGAGUGGUACCAAAUCGAGGCAAACUCUGAAUACUAGAUUGCCCCAAUAAAAGGGGUAAAGGUUAGCCAGUGAGAUGAUGGGGGAUAAGCUUCAUCAUCAAGAGGGGAACAACCUAGAUCAUCAGCUAAGGCCCCUAAAUGACCACUCGGUGAUGAAGGAAGUAUGAGUGCAAAGACAGCCAGGAGGUUUUCCUAGAAGCAGACAACCUUGAAAGAGUGUGCAAUAGCUCACUGAUCGAGCACUCUUGCGCUGAAGAUGAAUAGGACUAAGCGAUCUGCCGAAGUUGUGGGAUGUAAAAAUACAUUGGUAGGGGAGCAUUCCACCUCAGAGGGAAUCAUCGACGCGAGAAGGUGUGGACAAAGUGGAAGCGAGAAUGUCGGCUUGAGUAACGCAAACAUUGGUGAGAAUCCAAUGCCCCAAAAACCUAAGGGUUCCUCUGCAAGGUUCAUCCACGGAGGGUAAAUCAGGGCCCAAGAUCAGGCUGAAAGGCGUAGUCAAUAGAAAAUAGGUUAGUAUUCCUAUACUACCCCUUGUUGGUCCCGAGGGACAAAGGAGGCUAGGUUAGUCGAAAUAUGGUUAUCAGUUCAAGGAUGCAAGGUGACUCUAUAUACAUUGAUUCAAAGGUAAAAGAACAAUCAAAUAUAGGUGUGCACAAGGUGAUAUUGGGGGUGGAUAUUCCUCAUCAUCUACUCUAGCACACAAAAAUCCAAGAUGGCUUAUCCAAACAUUAUAGGAUGAAAAAAAUCAUGUAGGAGCACCCAUAUCAUCAAUGAGGAUGAGUAUACCUCCUAGGAGAUAUGUUAACCAUAUUGUGUUAGAUUAUUCCAUUUGUGAUCUUUACAAUUGUUUUGAGGAGGUGAUGUGUGAUACUUUUUUGGAUGAGUGUGAUGUUUGGGGGGUAGUUCCUUUAUGGGAGUCAGUGGUUGAUUUCGAGAUUGCAAUGUGUUCAAAUUUUUAGAAGUAAAGUUUGUUUGAGUUGCAAAGGGAGCAAAAUGAUGUUGGUGAAAACACUUUCCUCAUAAAGAGGGUGUGUUUUAUUUCGAGGUUACUCUAAAAUUUUUUGAUUGAGUUUCAAAGGAAGCAUAAAGAUGUUGGUGAAAACACUUUACUCAUAAAGAGGGAGUGUUUUAUUUCGAGGUUACUCCAAAAUUAAGUUACACCAUACUUAAGGGUGCUUCAUGUGAUGUGGGGUGCAUGGUGUAUUGAUAACCCUUAGUUGGCAUGAUGGACAUACACAUUGGAGUUAGAUUUCCCUUUGAUUAUAAGACCUUGUCUUGAUGCAUAUGUGGAAUUCUUCCUUGGAGCAUUGGAGAACUACAAGGCUAGUGGCUUUCUUCAUGAGAAAAAAAUGGAGGUCGAUUUCUUCCUUGGGAUGAUAGUUUUCCUUUGAGGAGGAUCAUUGGGCAUCUUGGAGGAGGGAUUUGAACCCUAGAUGGCAUGUGGACACUUGGUUUCUUACAUGGAUACUUGGCCUUGACUUGAGGACACUUGGGUUGAAAACCAACCAUGUAAGUGGGAUUGACCUAGAGGUAUAAAUGGCCUAAGAGGGAGUGUUGGAGAAUUGGAGACCUCCACCUUUGGAGGAGGAGUGUUACACACACCUUGUGGAGCAUUCAACAUUCAAUCCUUGUUUGUUGGAUGUGCUUCCCUUGGAACUUGGCAUGUGUGAGUUGGAGUUGGAGUGCUCCACAUGUGGGGAUAUUUAAUAAUUAGAUAGAUUUUUUGUUGUGGACUUGAUCCACUUUAUGAUUUUUUCCUUCCUUGACUUUCAUAUAAAUAAAUUGAGAAGGUAUUUUCAUCACUUGUAUUUCUUCACUCAUAGACUCACAUGCUUGCGUUAGAGAUGUGAGACUAGGGUGAACUUGUCUUCUUAUACUCUUCUUCAUGUGUAUUUGCUUUAUGUUUGAAUCCUCCUUAGAGUUUCUUGUCAUAAGUAGUAUUCACUUUUCUAAUCUGCAUUACUUCUCUAAUUAUAACAAAAGAACAAUGGAAACAAAAUCUAAAUAGAGGAAGGUCAUCUCUUUAGUUGAUAAAAUUCAGGAAAGUAAGAAAUAUGGAGAGAAAAAAGAAAAAAAAGAGCGGAGAUCUUCAUGGAGAAAAAAAAGAGCUAACCCUAACCCUAACUCGAUUGGAGUCUUGUGAUUUUGGGGACAAAUCCCUUGAAAUUACCAUUUUCGAUGGCCUCAUUCUCUUUCUCUGUCACUCCGUCUUUUAUGUGGAUCUUGGCCUCCUUAUCUGUCGCUAUCCCUCGACUUUCUCUUUCCCAAAUCCUUCUUUGUGUCUUGGCCUCCUCUUGCCCUCCUCGUAGCCUCCUUCUCUUGCUGAACGUCUAUUAGCUUCUCUGUCACGCGAGUGUAGUCAUGUGAAUGUGCUCUAGCUCUUUCCCUCCUCUUC